GAUGAACGCUAGCGGGAGGCUUAAUACAUGCAAGUCGCGGGGUAACGAUGGACUUCGGUUCAGGCGACGACCGGCGCACGGGUGAGUAACGCGUACACGACCUACCUUAUACUGAGGGAUAGCCCUGGGAAACUGGGAUUAAUACCUCAUGGUAUUAGAUUAUUGCGAUGAUCUAAUUAAAGGUUUCGACUGGUAUAAGAUGGGUGUGCGUUAGAUUAGCUAGUUGGUAAGGUAACGGCUUACCAAGGCGACGAUCUAUAGGGGGCGUGAGAGCGUGGACCCCCACACGGGUACUGAGACACGGACCCGACUCCUACGGGAGGCAGCAGUAAGGAAUAUUGGACAAUGGGGGCAACCCUGAUCCAGCCAUCCCGCGUGCAGGAAGACGGCCCUAUGGGUUGUAAACUGCUUUUAGAAGGGAAGAAAAUUAUUCAUUUAUGAGUAACUGACGGUACCUUCAGAAUAAGCACCGGCUAACUCCGUG
rnacentral:rRNA from 1 species